CUGCUGGCGACCGGCGCACGGGUGAGUAACGCGUAUCCAACCUACCCCGCGGUCAGGGACAGCCCGGCGAAAGUCGGAUUAAUACCUGAUGCAGUCAGAAGAGGGCAUCUGAUUUUGACGAAAGAUUGAUCGCCUCGGGAUGGGGAUGCGUAGGAUUAGGCAGGCGGCGGGGUAACGGCCCACCGCGCCGACGAUCCUUAGGGGUUCUGAGAGGAAGGUCCCCCACACUGGUACUGAGACGCGGACCAGACUCCUACGGGAGGCAGCAGUGAGGAAUAUUGGUCAAUGGGCGUGAGCCUGAACCAGCCAAGUAGCGUGCAGGACGACGGCCCUAUGGGUUGUAAACUGCUUUUAUGCGGGGAUAAAGUGCGGCACGUGUGCCGUUUUGUACGUACCGCAUGAAUAAGGACCGGCUAAUUCCGUGCCAGCAGCCGCGGUAAUACGGAAGGUCCGGGCGUUAUUCGGAUUUAUUGGGUUUAAAGGGAGCGCAGGCGGCCUUUUAAGCGUGACGUGAAAUGU
rnacentral:rRNA from 1 species